rnacentral:lncRNA from 1 species
GUCGAGUUUCGCCAGCGACUUGGUUGAACGUGAGGUGUUCUCGCUGCUGUCUGCCGUGGAAGCAGGGGCGCCGCGCGUGACAAUUGUGAGGGCCUGUCUGGGAGCCAUGAAACGGUAAUAAGACCAAGUGCGUAUGAAAUUCAAGAAUCUGCGGACAUACUUCCUAAAUCAACACCACAAGAUUCGUGAUGCUCCUAGUGGGUCAGCAGGGUGUCCAGGUGUGAAGUGGCCUCUGUACGAUGCUGCCUCUUUUUUGCUGGAUGCACAAGUUGACCAAACACCAAUCAAAUCCACCUUUGUGCUACCAUCUACCAUGGGAGAGGAUUCGGAUGUAGCAAGAGGUCACUCUUGGAGAAGGAUGCCUUGAGGAUGAGAUCAUUUUUGAAUUAGCAACAGCCCAGUCCUUCAUGUGUGCCAAAUAUUGAAACAUCAGCACCCACACUUACUGCAUAUGAGGACCAGCUUUUGUCAUCAAGUCCCCUGCCAACACCACCACAUGACACAUAUGAGAAAACUAGUAAUUCUGAUUGUAACACUGCUCCAUCAUCCCUAUCACGCAAGAGCAAACGAACUGCUAGCAAUCCUGAUCAUCUUGAUACAUUAAUAGGAUUUAUAGGCCAGUACUUUAGAAAUAGACAAGGUUCUAAUAUUCUAGCUACCUUCGGUCAACUUGUGCAGGGUGUAGCAGAAAAGUUGUCACUUCAUCAACAGGUAACAUUCCUCGCAAAAAUAACAAAAGCUAUUGAAGAAAUGAGUGGAAACCUCAUGGAAUAGUGAAAGCAAUAUGCCAACACUGUAAAAUAAAUAAAACUUUCAAGAUAUGUCA